rnacentral:lncRNA from 1 species
UUCUAAAUUGAUGUAUUUCUUUCAGAUAAACGAGUAUCCAGGAAUUCUUUGAUAAUCGAAUAUCCAGGAAUUCUCACCUCAAACCUUGAAAUCAUUGCAAGUUUGCUGGUCUUCUUCAGAUUUGCUUACGCAGAGGCCGGUAUAAAUUUCCAGGUGGAAGAGACGAGUUGCUGACAUGUUUGUUUGGUCUGAGCCAGAGCUGUCAGCCUGGCCUGCCCGGGCCUCAGAGCGAUGGGCUCUUGACUUCCCCGGGCCUGUUCCCCAGUUUUUUUUUUUUUGAGAGAUAAUACAGGAUAGUAUUGUGAUAAGAGGAUGGAAACCAAGCUCUGCUCCGUGCUAGCUGUGCGACGUCGGGCAAGUAAGUCACUUACCCUCUCUGUGCCUGGGAUC